CAGGACGAACGCUGGCGGCAUGCCUAACACAUGCAAGUCGAACGGACAUAACCAAGUUAUAGCGAUAUAAUGCGGGUAUGUAGUGGCGAACGGGUGAGUAACACGUGAGCAACCUGCCCUGUACAACGGGAUAACAGUUGGAAACGACUGCUAAUACGGUAUAAGACCACACUGCGGCAUCGCAGAGGGGUAAAAGUGAAUUAGCGGUACAGGAUGGGCUCGCGUCCAAUUAGCUAGUUGGUGAGGUAACGGCUCACAAAGGCGACGAUUGGUAGCCGACCUGAGAGGGUGAUCGGCCACACUGGAACUGAGACACGGUCCAGACUCCUACGGGAGGCAGCAGUGGGGAAUAUUGGGCAAUGGAAGGAAACUCUUACCCAGCAAUGCCGCGUGAAGGAAGAAGGUCUUCGGAUUGUAAACUUCUUUUAUUGGGGACGAAUAAAUGACGGUACCCGAUGAAUAAGCCCCGGCUAACUAUGUGCCAGCAGCCGC
rnacentral:rRNA from 1 species